rnacentral:tRNA from 14 species
GGCUCGUUAGCUCAGUGGUUAGAGCACCGCACUCAACUCUCCAGGCGGAGGUCGUAGGUUCGAAUCCUACAUGAGCCC